UCUUCAUUUCACAUACUCUCUCGUCACUCGACCGGGCGAGAGAGUGUGGGAAAUGAAGAGA
rfam:Pristionchus pacificus strain PS312 contig3803, whole genome shotgun sequence.